AAGACUAUAGACCUGCGGAGUACCUGCGGAGGGAUCAUUACAGAGUUCAUGCCCGCACGGGUAGAUCUCCCACCCUUGAAUACCUAUACCGUUGUUGCUUUGGCGGGCCGCCUCGGCUACCGGCUCAAGCUGGUAAGUGCCCGCCAGAGGACCCCUAAACUCGUAAAUAUCAGUGUUGUCUGAGUACGAUAUAAUAGUUAAAACUUUCAACAACGGAUCUCUAGAUCGGAAGAGCACACG
rnacentral:misc_RNA from 1 species